AUUCGACCUGAGUUCAGACGAGACUA
rnacentral:rRNA from 1 species